rnacentral:rRNA from 1 species
UACGAAGGGGGCUAGCGUUGCUCGGAAUUACUGGGCGUAAAGGGAGCGUAGGCGGGUUCUUAAGUUAGGUGUUUAAUCCCGGGGCCCAACCCCGGACCGGCACUUAAAACUGGGAAUCUUGAAUAGUGGAGAGGUCGGUGGAAUUGGGGGUGUAGCGGUGGAAUGCGUAGAGAUCCCCAAGAACACCAGUUGCGAAGGCGGCCGACUGGACACAUAUUGACGCUGAGGCUCGAAAACAUGGGGAGCAAACAGG